UGCUAAAACACUCGUUCCUGUAUGAUCAACAAAGUUAAGCAACGUCAAGCCUGGACAAUACCUAGAUGGGUGACCACUUGGGAAUACCACAUGUUGUA